rnacentral:lncRNA from 1 species
AAAUAAACAUGGCUUCCACCAAGCGCAAGCUAGAGUCCAUCCUGAGGUCCUAGGAAAUUCUGAACAAGAAGCUGCCACUCAGUGAGAAGACCCCACACACCUGAGCACUUAAUUAUUAAGAACAGAUGUUACAAAUGGCUCUAUUAAGUUGGAGCUGGCUGGAAGCCCUUUCUCUGGUUUCUUGAUUUUAUCUAGGAAGCUCGCUCAUAAACCAUCCCACAACCAAGUGAAGCAAAGUUGUUUUCAGGGUGUCCCUCAAUAGAGGAAUGGAUACAGAAAAUGUGAUACAUUUACACAAUGGAGUACACUCAGCUAUUAAAAAGAAUGAAUUUAUG